ACAAAAACAUGUUCUUUUGUUUUUAUAAAAGAUUUAACCUGCUCUAUGAUAAAUUUAAAUGGCUGCAGUAUUUUGACUGUACAAAGGUAGCAUAAUCAUUUGUCUUUUAAUUGAAGGCUAGUAUGAAUGGUUGGACGAAAAAUAUACUUUCUUUAUUUUAUAUAAAUAAAUUAAUUUUUUAGUUAAAAAGCUAAGAUUUUUUUAUAGGACGAGAAGACCCUAUAGAACUUUAUUUUCUACAUAUAUAUAUUUUAUAGAUUUUUAAAAUAUUAUAUAUUAAUAGUUAAUUUAAUUGGGGUGAUUGAAAAAAUUAUAUAACUUUUUCUAUUUCUAUCAUUUAUUUAUGAUGUUUUU
rnacentral:rRNA from 1 species